CAUUGUAACUAAGGCAAUUUGCUGAUAAGUAAUAUUGUAUAUGCUUUUUAUUUUUUUUAUAUUGUGGAAAUGUGUUAUUCUGUAGUAUACCUGUAGAUGGCGAACUACGAGAGCGUAUAAAAGUUAAGUAGUUAUCCGUAACUCAGCAGCUUGAAGAAGGACUGUGUUAAGGCCUGAAAUGUUGCUUGUUGUCGGAGAUCCAAGCCAUGAAUUUCCAAUAAAGGCUUUUUACAUUUUUCACUUUGGACGGUGCUGGGACUUCUACUAUUAUCUCCUGAAUAACAUCCAAGAAGAAAGGAAAUAUCUACAGAGAAAGAACCAGUGGAAACUACUGCUCCAACAGAACCAUCUCCUUUCAAGCUGCCACAAACCAGCCAGAGGUGACUUCAAAAUCAGCAGUGUCCUAGCCCCCAUCCAAAGCUUGAAUAUGCUGACAUUCCUUAAGAUGAAUGAGUUCUGGAUAAUUGGGAAUAUCCAAGUGCCCAUUGCUAAUAUCACAGAGUAGCCUUGACUUCUCCUCGCAGAUGUUUUGCCUAUUCCUUCUGUGGCUGACAUCUGUGUUGCUGCUGCUAUUGUUGCACUGUGGGCAAUCUUUUUUUCUGGUGGGGCCUGUCAAGUCCUACUGUCUGUUGUUGCCUGUCUAUCUGGCUGCCAUCUGUAAAAGCUGUCUAGAAAACUAGCCAUAAGUAAUGCAAUUUUUAUUUUGGCAAGACCUAGCUAUCACACUAGGUCCUACUCCCUAUCCUGCAAUUUGUAGAAGCUGUACUCCUUGCACUCUUUAGGGAUAAUUACUCUGAAUCAUGGUCCUGGUGCACAUGGUGAAUGGAAAUGGUGAAGUUAUUAAAGAUUUCAUGGUGUUUGGUUACCGAUUUAUCACCACUUAAAUACUAAUCCAUUGUAUUCAAAGGUAUAAAUGUAAUAAAAGUGAAACAGAAGAAUAAAAAUACGCAUUUAAAAAUGUGAUAUUCUCCAUUAUCGCACAAUGAACAAGAGCAUUGGAACAUGUAUUAUGGCUUUCUCUUUCUGGCAUGGUAAAUGGUUUUUGCACAAAGAAUACAUUUUUCCUUUAAUUACUUUAUUACAGUAUAUUCUUCAGAUAAAUGUCCUGUCUGUUUCCCGAUUUCCAAAUGUAAGCUUCUAAAUUCACCAUUUUCUUUUUUUGGUGGUGCAUAUUUCUUUUUUUGCCACUAGAUGGCGAUAGCAGUUUAUUGUUCAUGCACCUUACUUGUGCUGCUCUACAGAUCGAUUCCAAAGUGGCAUAAUAUGAUGUAUGUAAUGGAGGAUAGUAUAAACCCAGUAAUUCUUGUAAAAGCAUGUAAACAUCCAAGAGCUGAUUUGACUUGCAAUCAGGGAAAAUUUAAGAUAAAAGUCUGUUGAAUAAACUCA